GAAGAGCCAGAUCUCGGCAGGCUGCUGGGCAGGGGAGGUGGGAAAAGUAAACCAGUGUGCAGUCGGGGAGUGGGAUGAUAUAGACUAUUGUGUUCAGACCUCACCUGUGCCCACUGUCUCCUCUUGUGGCAGGGCAGGGCACUAAAGGAACAACAGGCAGAAUGCUGCUUUUCUAGUGUUCAGAAUGGCUAGUUCAGGUUUACUUUUCUGGCUUAGUUUGGACAAGCUCCUGUUAAUCAAGCUGUGGGAUGGAACUUCCGGGGACAGCAAAAGAUGAAAAAAACUGAGCUCCAGAGAACUUAAGUAACUUGUACAAGGACAUAAGAAAAUAAUAAUCUGAAACUUGGAAAUAAGCAAAAGAAGAAUGACUGCCGGCAUCUCUUUUUAGUAUCAUCAGAAGCUCUACCUAACAGGCCAUCCUACUUCCAAGGAUUAUUUAAAUCUCUAGGGAGAGUACCUUUGAUUAAUUAUUUCUUAUGAUUAGGGCCUAUAUUCUGUGAAAAUACAGAGUCCAAGUUUUAACUUUGUAGAUUAUUAAAUUAUAAAUUGUAUUUCUCCCAUAGAGAUGCAAAUUAUUUCUUUCUAUUAUAAAAGAUAAUCCCAAAGGUCAUAAUUUUAUCGACCAGUAAGACAUUACCCAGUUUUAUAUCUAACAAGCUCAUUUCAACUUUUUUUUUCUGAUAGGAUAAAUAAAUACCCAUUUUCCCCUCCCUCCCUCCCUCCCUCCCUCCCUUCCUUCCUUUUUUUUUUUUUUUUUUUUUUUCCGGAGUCUCGCUCUAUCUCCCAGGCUGGAAUGCAAUGGCAUGAUCACAGCUCACUGUAGCCUCAAUCUCCAGGCUCAAGUGAUCCUCCUGCCUCAGCCUCUGUAAGUAACUGGGACCACAGGCACAUGCUACAAUGCUCAUGCCACCACGCACAACUAAUGGAAAAAAAUUUAUAGAGAGAGGCCUUCCUAUGUUGCCUAGGCUGGUCUCAAACUCCUGGGCUCAAAAGUGAUUCUCCCACCUUGGCCUCCCAAAGUGCUGGGAUUACAGGUGUGAGCCACUAUGCCCAGCCAGUAAAUGCCCAUUUUCUUUUCUUUUCUUUCUUUUUUUGGAGACGGAGUCCAGCUGUAUCGCCCAGGCUGGAGUGCAAUGGCGUGAUCUUGGCUCACUGCAACCUCUGCCUCCCAGGUUCAAGUGAUUCUCCUGCUUCAGCCUCCGGAGUAGCUGGGAUUACAGGCUCCCGCCACCAGGCCUGGCUAAUUUUUGUAUUUUUAGUAGAGAUGGGGUUUCACUGUGUUGGCCAGGCUGAUCUCAAACUCCUGACCUCGUGACCCGCCUGUGUUGGCCUCCCAAAGUGCUGGGAUUACAAGUGUGAGCCACCGUGCCCGGCUGACCCAUUUUCAAAUGCUAUUAGAAUCACCUUUGCCAUCUUAUUUGUUCCCUCAUUAAUUAGUUAAACAAAUAUUUUACAUGAGCUCAUUAUAUGUUCAUAUGAGGGUGAACGUAAAGAAUUAUGAAGGGUUGAAGGUUUUACCCUACCUGUAAGUUAACAAGUUAGCCUGUCAUGGUUUAAUGGAUGCUGGCAGAAGACAUGAAACUCCUGGGUCAGAGACAAAGGACUUUAUGAUGAAUGGUACAGCAAGCAACAUGAACACCAGUGUAUUUGUGCCAGUUCCCCUUUCCUCUGCAAGUCCCAUAAGGGUGAUGUGGAUAGACCUAAGUAGAUGCCUAUACAUUCAGUGUGUCACAUUAUACUAAACUUAAGGAACUUGAAUCUUUUAUAAUGUUUAGUAAGCCUGAUUCCCCUUUUCUCCAGAGUGAGACACUAUCUCUACCUUCCAAAGCUAUUUGUUAUGUAAACAUCCUUGUAAGGGCAGCUUGGAACAAAGUACCUUGCUUGUAAGAUAUAUAGAAACUUAAGAGACCCAUGGAGAAUUAUCUCCCAACAGCCAAUUUUAAAAAAUUAUACCCUGGCCAGGGUGUAACAGCCUGUAAAUGACCACGCCUGGAUACUUCCUGGCUGCAAUGUCUGGGCUGUUUCCACCGUACUGAGAAAACCCAAGUCCCACUGCAUGUGACCAACAAAAGAAUCCCCCACUACUAUUAGCUCUUUGUAUCUUUUCCAACCUAGGGUGGAAGUGGCCUUGGUUUGAAAAAGAUGCAUCAAAGCACAAAAAACGUGGUAAUUAAUCAGUUUUAUUUCCAAAGCCCUACAUGUCUUGAGAUGCUUAAAAUACUUAUUGUGAUAAAAUUUUAAUAGAACCCUAAAACUACAAAAACUUUAAGGCAAUUAAAACACUAGUCUGUGAGCAAUUUAAGAGCAGGGACCAUGUUUUAUUUGUUUUUUGAAUCGUUGGAACCUAACACAGUGUCUGGUACCUAGUAGGUGUUCACCAAAAUUUUUGUCGAAUUAGUGAAUAAAUAAAUUAAGAGGGAGGAACACUCCUGUUUACCUCUUUCUUAUCCAGUUUCUCUUUGGUCCUUUCCUCUUCUAGAAAACAAAGCAGAUAUCUGUUGAACUCAUUUAUGCCCUUUGCUUCAGCUGCUUGUUCCAAUAACUUAUUCCAUAUGUUUAUUUCCUUUAGUGUGAAAAGAUUUGGCUCAAGUUUUCUUUUUUAUUUAUAGUUUCCUGAGUUUUCAGUCCUGUCCCUGCUCGCCUGUUCCCUUUCCCAUACACACACACCCGGGAGUGUGAAGGAGCAAGUGCCGACAGCUACAACCGCGAUUCAGAGGUUCUUGAAAGGGUUGCUGUUGUUUCUGGACAGUCAUCCUGGGCGGCUGUCCCCAGGCCAGCGAGGCCGACUGCUUAGCCUGCAGCCUGGGCCGCACUCCUGAGACACUCUGCCCCCAUCUGACUGGCCACGUGCCCUCUCGCUCCUCAGUGGCAAAGGAGGAAGAGGCAGUGAGAUGGCAAAUAGGCAAGGCCACCAUCAGUCAUUGUCGUCACUGUCACCAUCGUCUUGCAGAUCAGCCACAAUCCUGCCUGCACAGAACAGGUUCCGUGGGCGUUUCCAGUGUGAUGCAUCCCAAACCAAGCACAUCAUGUUCCUCCCUGAACCAGGUGAUCUUCCUCCUGCUCCCUCUUCCAUUUGGAAUACUGCCGUCACCACCUGUGCAGUCUCUCCGACCAGAAACCUCAGUGUCAUCCUGAUUCAUCCCCUCCCUCAGCCUCCUCAUCGAAUGAGUCACAGAGAGAUUUUACUGGAAGAUAAUUCCCAGCAUGUGCUUGCUGAGUCCUCUCAGACUUGUUUCUGAAAUCUGACUUCCUACCCUUCACUCCAUUGCCCCUCUCUGUUCAGCUCCUCACCUUUCCCUUGAGCUACUGCACCAGUCCAGCCACCCUCUCCCUUCCACCAACCUCUCCCCUUGCGUGGGCCUCAGUGUGUCCUGCUGAAAUACGCACAUUGACAUCCUAACCCCCAAGGUGAUGGUGUUAGGAGAUGGGGCCCUUGGGAGGUGAUUAGGUCAGAAGGGCAGAGCCCUCAUGAAUGCGAUCGGUGCCUUUAUAGAAGAGUCCUCAGAAAGCUGCCUUGCCCUUUCCACCAUGUGAGGGCACAAUGAGAAGGCACUGUCUAUGACAACCAAGAAGUGUGUCCUCACCAGACACCAAAUCUUUCUUUGUUUUCUUGAGACAGAGUCUUGCUCAGUCACCCAGGCUGAAGUGCAAUGGUGCUAUCUUGGCUCACUGCAACCUCCGCCUCCCAGGUUCAAGUGAUUCUCCCACCUCAGCUUCCCAAGUAACUGGGAUUACAGGCACCCACUACCAGGCCCGUGUAAUUUUUGUAUUUUUUUGUAGAGAUGGGGUUUCACCAUGUUCUCUAGUUUGGUCUUGAACUCCUGACCUGAAGUAAUUCAUGCACCUUGGCCUCCCAAAAUGCUGGGAUUAUAGGCGUGAGCCACCGCGCCCAGCCACCAAUCUAUUGGUGCCUUGAUCUUGAACAGCCCAGUCUCCAGAACUAAAUUUCUGUUGUUUAUAAGCUACCUAGCUUAUAGUAGAGUUGACUCUUGAAUGACAUGGGUUUGAACUGCCUGGGUCCACUGAUAUGUAGAUUUUUUUCAAUAAAUUUAUUGAAAAAGUUUUUAGAGAUUUGCAAUAAUUUGAAAAAACUUGCAAACUGCUGUAGCUUAUAUGGCAAAUAUAGGCAAAAAAAAUACUGAAAAAAUUAAGAAAAAGCUAUGUCAUGAAUGCAUAAAUUCUAUAUAGAUACUGGUCUAUUUAUUUGUUAAUCAGCUUUAUGUUAUGGGUAAGGUGACGUGGUUUGGAUCUGUGUUCCCACCCAAAUCUCAUAUUCAGUUGGAAUCCCCAGUGUUGGAGGUGGGGCCUGGUGGGAGGUGAUUUGAUCAUGGGGACGGUUUCUAAUGCUUUAGCACCUUCUCCCCAGUGCUGUUCUCAUGAUAGGGUUCUCACGAGAUCUGAUUGUGUGAAAGUAUGUGGCACCUUCACCCUCUCUCUCUUCCUCCUGCCUCGACCACGUGACAUGUUGUCUCCCUCUUCACCUUCCACCAUGAUUGUAAGUUUCCCGAGGCCUACCUAGAAGCCAACAGAUGCUGCCAUGCUUUGCUCUGUCGCCCAGGCUGGAGUACAGUGGUGCGAUCUCGGCUCACUGCAACCUCUGCCUCCUGGGUUCGAGCGAUUCUCCUGAGUAGAUGGGAUUACAGGUGUGCACAACCACUCCCAGCUAAUUUUUGUAUUUUUAGUAGAGACGGGGUUUCAUCAUGUUGGUCAGGCUGGUCUCGAACUCCUGACCUCAUGAUCUGCCCGCCUCGGCCUCCCAAAGUGCUGGCAUUACAGGUGUGAGCCAACGCACCCGGCCAACCUCUUUUGUUUAUAGGUAUUUCUUUAUAGCAAUGCCAGAACGUACUACUACAUAAGGCUUCUGGUCAACAGUAGGCUAUUAGUAGUUAAGUUUUUGGAGAGUCAAAAGUUAUACGUGGAUUUUCUACUGCACAGGAGUUGGCACUCCAAACACCCCCAUACAGUUCAAGGCUCAACUGUAUUUUCUUAUAGCAGCCCAAACAGGCUAAGAAAAGUCUAUUCUCUAAUCUGUUGAUGAUGUAAUUUAUUUAAGUGGAAAUUCUUAAAAUCUUCAUGGGUUUUCUGAAGCCCUACAAAGUCAAGUCCCCACUCCUUAAAUCCUGAAUAUGGCACAUAAGGUUAUUAUAUUUUCCCCUACAGACUCACACUCCCAGACCUCUGCAGCUUUGCUGGUGGGGUUCAGGCACGGGUACCCCACACUCCAGGCAAGUUGUACUUCCGGUCCUUUCCCAUGCAGUCACCCCUCACCAUUCCAGGCUUUUCAUCCCUGCCCAAGGUCCUCUUAACUCUCUUCCUGACACAUUAAUUUUAUUUCAUUUCAUGAAAAAAAAUGGGUGUUUAUUUGAAAUUGCAUAUUAUUUUGUAUGAUCUACUUUUCUGUUACACAAAUGCUGUAAUUUAAACAAAACAGUAAGGACAGGUGCAGUCACUUGCACCUAUAAUCCCAGCCAUUUGGGAGGCCGAGACAGGAGAGUUGCUUGAGCCCGGGAAUUGGAGGCUGCAGAGAGAUAUGAUCGUACUACUGCACUCCAGCCUGGGAGACAGAGUAAGAUCCUGUCUCAGAAAAAACCCCACACAUACACACAAAAAAUAAGACUAGUUAAGAGUGAUAAUUGGAGCAUCUUAGUUGCAAUAAUUAAAUAAUGUGUGAGAAAAAUGUAACAAAAUUUUUUCUAUCCUCUUCUACACCAUUUUAGUUUAACACUUAAAACUCUUUCAUUGGUUAUUGAUUUCUUCAGCUUUAUUGAGGUAGAAUUGACAAAUAUAGUUGUAUAAAUUUAACAUAUAUAAUGUGAUGAUUUGAUAUAGUGUGCAUUGUGAAAUGAUCGUACAAUCAAGUGAGUUUUUAAUUUCUAUCACCUCACCUAGUUAAAAUUUUUUUGUGUGUGGUAAGAACACUUGAAAUUUACUCUCUCAGCAAAUCUUUCUUUCUUUCUCUCUUCCCUCCCUCCCUCCCUUCCUCCCUCCCUUCCUUCCUUCCUUUCUUUUCUUUCUUUCUUUUCUUUUUUUUUUUUCUUCAAGGGCUCACUCUGUUGCCCAGGCUGGAGUGCAGUGGCACGAUCAUAGCUCACUGCAGCUUCCAGCUCUUGGGUUCAAGAGGUCCUCCCACCUUGGCCUCCCAAAGUGCUGGUAUUAUAGGUGUGAGCCAUGAUGCCCAGCCAGCAAAUUUCAAGUAUACAGUACAGAAUUAUUAACUCUAGUCAGCAGCUGUGCAUUAGGUCUCCAGAAUUUAUUCAUCUUUCUUUUCAUAGAUGGGAUCUCACUUGGUUGCCCAGGCUCGACUCCAACUCCUGACCUCAAGGGAUCCUUCUGCCUCAGCCUCCUGAGUAGCUGGGACUACAGGCACGUACCGCUGUGCCCGGCUUGAAUUUAUUUAUCUUAUCACUGAAACUUUGUCCCCUUUGACCAGCAUCUCCCAUUUCCUCCACCCUCAGCCCCUGGUAAUCAUCAUUCUUUUCUCUGCUUCUAUGAGUUUGACUUUUUUAGAUUCCACAUGUAAGUGAGAUCAUGCAGGCAUCUGUCUGUGUGUCCCUGGCUUAUUUCACUGGGCAUAAUGUCCUCUCGGUUUGUCCAGGUUGUUCUGUCUCCUGACAGAUUCUUAUUCAUUCUUCAGAACUCAGCCAAGUCUUGCCUUCGGUGCGGCUUUCCCUGGCUCCCCUGGACUGCUCGCUCUCCUCUCUGUGCUCACCAGCUCUUGCUUCAAUCCUUGACUCCAGCACUUUCCAGACACUUAAUCCAAGCUUGCUAGAUGUGUGAGCAGGUACAGGGUGGAACCAGGUUGAUGCAACAAAUUGAUGGGCAUUACUGAUGAACCUGGGGUGAAAGUUCUGUGUGUACAUUUGCGGAAAGAUGUUGGUGUUUGGGAGAGGAUUUCUCCUGCUCAGGCUAAUUUCCGAAUGGCAAUUUCCCACUUGAUUAGCAUGAGCUCUAGCUAGAUAGGGAUAGGCCACAUGGGUCAAUGCCAUCUCUUUUGAAAAUCGUGACAGACUAUACUAGGUCUAAGUGAAAUUGUUAUCAAUAUUGAGGACUUUAGUGAUUAUUGCAGUGAUAUCCUCAAAUUUCUGCUUUUUUUUUUUUUUCCGCAGAGUGUCACUCUGUCACCCAGGCUGGAGUGCAGUGGCACAAUCUCGGCUCACUGCAACCUCUGCCUCCCAGGUUCAAGCGAUUCUUCUGCCUCAGCCUCCCAAGUAGCUGGGACCACAGACACUGUGGGAGGCUUGAGGCCCAUGACAUCAAUUUAGGCAUCCGGAGAAGGUAGGAGGCAGGGGAACAGGUAGGGGGAAGGUGUGGGGCCCUGCGUGUCUUGAAUGUCCCCUCCAAAGCUCAUGUUGAAACUUAACUCCCAAUGUGGCAGUAUUGAGACGUGGGGCCUUUUGGAGGUGAUUAGGUCUUGAGGGCUUUGCCUCCAUGAACGGAUUAAUCCAUUCAUGGAUUCAUGGAUUAACCAGUCCGUGGAUUGAUGGGUUAUUAUGGGACUGGAACUGGUGGCUUUGUAAAAAGAGGAAGAGAGUCCUGAGCUGGCCUACUCAGCUCCUCUGAUGUGACACCCUGCACCACCUCAGGACUCUGCAGAGUCCUCACCAGCAGGAGGCUCUCAUUAAACGUGGCCCCUCAGCCUUGGAAUUCCCAGCCUCCAGAACUGUACAAAAUAAAUACCUUUUCUUUUUAAAUCAUUCAGUUUCAAGUAUUCUGUUAUAAACAACAGAAAAUAAACUAUUACAGAAUCAUGGUGUGGAGAAAAAAAAUAACAAAAAGAAAAUGGACUAAGACAGACUCCACUGGAGAAGUAGUAGUUUUUAAUUGCUAUUAACAUAGGUCAGGUGUGGUGGCUCAUGCCUGUAAUCCCAGGAAUUUAGGAGGCUGAAGUGGAAGGAUUGCUUGAGGUCAGGAGUUCAAGACCAACCUGGGCAACACAGAAAAGCCCUGCCUCUACAAAGAAUUUUUAAAAAUUAGCCAGGCAUGGUGGCAUGUGCCUGUAGUCCCAGCUAUGUGGAAGGCUGAGGCGUUUAGCCACUUGAGCCCAAGAGUUCAAGGCUGCAGUGAGCUAUGAUUGUGCCACUGAACUCUAGCCUGGGCAACAGAGCAAGACCUUGUCUCUAAAAAUACAUUUUUUUAAAAAUUAUGAAAAUAGUGUGGGCAUGGUGGCUCACACCUGUAAUCCCAGCACUUUGAGAGGCUGAGGUGGGAGGAUCACUUGAGCCCAGGAAUUCAAGACCAGCCCAGCCAACGUGGUGAGAGCCCGUCUCUACAAAAAGUUUAAAAAAUAAUGAAAAUAAAAUAAUUAAAUAAUAAUAAUAAUAAUAACUAUAAAAAAAUUGAAAACAACAACAAUUCCUCACAGUGGGUAUCCUUUAAGCUGGAACAAAAGGAGAAGAUGCUAUGGUCUGAAUGUGUCCCCCCAGAAUUCAUGUGUGGAAGCAUGAUCUGCAAUAUGGUGGUAUUAAAGAGGAUGGGGCUUCGGGAGGUGAUUAGGUCAUGAAGACGCAACCAUCAUGAAUGGGAUUAGUGCUUUUGUAAAAGACAUCUGAGGGAGACUGUUUGCCGCUUCCACCAUGUGAAGGUGCAGGAAGGAGGCACCAGCUAUGAGGAAGAGGCCCUCCCCAGACGCCAGAAACUGCUGCACCUUGAUCCUGGACUUCCCAGCCUCUCCAACUUGGAGCAAUACAUUUCCACUCUUUAUAAAUGACCCACUCUAAAUUAUUUUGUUUUAGCAGCCCAAAGAGACUGACAGAGAGAAAAGUUUGAUGAACAGUUUAAAGUGGGGAAUAAGUAUAUUUUUGCAGAGAACUGUAAGGAGGGCAGCCUGUCUAAGGGGCAGGUAGGAGAUGGCAAGGAGGAUCUUCCUAGGGAAGGGUCAGGGAAAGGUGAGUGUCAGGCUGGGACAAGUGGAAACUAUGGAGUGUUCUUAGUUUGGGGCUGACAGUAAAAGCUGUGGAUCAGGAAGUGAAGUGCAUCGGUGCCCAGCAACCUCUUCUCACCCUAAGUUUUACCUGCUUUAAUGUCUCCAUGAAUAUGGUCCUAGGGGCAAUAUUGUUACUACCUGCUGUGCACAGUGUCUCAUAUAAACAAGGAACUUCCUUCGUCUAUGUUUGAAGUUUAUUUUGCAGGUAAUAGUGGGUUGGAUAUCCUGACCUCCAGGAGUUCACAUUCUUCAAUGCUUCAGGGUGGUCACGGCAAUUCUAUUAGGGUAUCUGUUCUCCACGACAGAUAUUUUUAGCAACAGAUAGCCUGAAUCCAUUCAAAGAAUGCACCUGUUGAUGGGAAUCCAGAUCUGGCAACCACACACUUUAAUUUCAAGAGUGCUCAAUCAGAGUGUGUGCUAGACUGUGGGACAGGACAGAAAGUCUACUGACUUCAGGCUCAGGCUCACAACAGCUGUUUUCCAAAAUUGGUAACAUGAAAGUGCUUCUAUUAAUGUGGAGAUUUUGGUUUGAUGGAUUCGUGGAAAUGAUCUGAUACAAAAAAGCACAAUUCCCUUCCCUCUCCCGUUUCUGUCUUGUCUUCCUCCUUCCUGCCCUUCCUCCCUUUCCUUAGCAAUAUAUUUUUUUUUUUUUUGAGACAGAGUUUCACUCUGUCACCCAUGCUGGAGUGCAGUGGCGUGAUCUCAGCUCACUACAACCUCCGCUUCCCAGGUUCAAGCAAUUCUCCUGUCUCAGCCUCCUGUGUUGCUGGCACUACAGGCACCUGCCACCAUACCUAGCUAAUUUUUAUAUUUUUAGUAGAGACAGGGUUUCACCUUGUUGAUCAGGCUGGUCUCGAACUCCUGACCUCAGGUGAUCCACCUGCCUUGGCCUCCCAAAGUGCUGGAAUUACAGGCGUGAGCCAUUGCGCCCAGCCUUCCUUAGCAAUAUUUUCUUUCUUUUUAAUUUCUCUUUUUUUUUUUUUUUUUUUGAGACCAAGUCUCGCUCUGUCACCCAGGUCUGCUCACUGCAACCUCUGCCUCCCAGAUUCAAGCAAUUCUCCUGCCUCAGCCUCCCGAGUAGCUAGGACUACAAGCACACGCCACCACGCCCAGCUAAUUUUUGUAUUUUUUUUUUUAUUAGAGACGGGGUUUCACCAUAUUGGUCAGGCUGAUCUUGAACUCUUGACCUCAUGAUCCGCCUGCCUCGGCCUCCCAAACUGCUGGGAUUACAGGUGUGAGCCACCAUGCCCGGCUGCAGUAUUUUCUAAAUGUCUCAUCUUGGAUUUGUUUUUACAGUGACAAAGAAGCCAAGCAAAGUUUUCUUCCUCUAUUAAAUGCAUAUUCUAGAAGGGAAGACAAACAAAUCAUAAACAAACUAGUAAAUAAUACAGUUUCAUAAAGUGAUGAAUGCUGGGAAGAAAGGGAGGCAGGAUAUGGCAGUGACCAGGGCCUGGAGGUAUUUUUAUUUCCCGUUUGGUGGACAGGGGAAGCACUCUGUGGAGGUCACAUCUGAGCAGAGACCUGAACUGGUGGCCGUGAUGGGAGUUUGCGGUGGAAAGCAUUGCAGGAAGAGGUGGAAAAGAACAAGCAUUGCUCUUUGAACAGCAUGAAGAUUGGGGUGGGUGGAGAGGAGGGGUCAAGGAGCAGAAGUGUAGGAUGAGGAGAAGCAGCCAGUAGCUAGAUCACCAGGGACUUGUAGGCUACAAUAAGGAUUUCAUAUUUUAUUCUAAGUGCAAUGGGAAGCUAUUGGUAGGAAUUAAGCAGGAGAGCAAGGCAAGCUGACUUACAGUUUAAGAAUACCCUGGCUGCUCUUGGAGAAUAUUCUGUAGUGGAGAAAGAAGGCUGUAGGAAGACCAGUGGCUUGGCUGUUGUAGAGUACAAGUGUAAGCUGAUGGUGGUCUGCAGUAUGGAGAUGGCAGUGGAAGCGGGGAAAGGUGGUAGGGAGGGCUCAGUAUGUGUUUUAAGAGAUCGAGAAAGGACUCAAUAAUCGUGGACUGGAUGCCCAGUAGGACAGAAAGAGAGGGGUCAAGGAUGACUCCUAGGUUUGUAUUUUGAGCAACUGGAUGAUUUAUGGGGCAAUUUUCUGAGAUGAAGAUGAUCGGGAGAGGAGACGGUUUAGAUUGGAAAAUUAAGAGCUCUGUUUUUAUAGUUUUAAGUGACUAUAUAGAAUAUUAAAAAGAUACAGCUGUCUGGAAUUUAAGAUAAAGAUCGGAGCUGGAAAUAAACUUUGGGAGUUACCAGCGUGUAGAUGGUAUUUAAAGCCAUUGAUCGAGAAGACAUCACAUGGGGAGGGAGGUGCUUGCCCUGAGGAAGAGACUGAGCUCAGAGACACUCCAAUAUUUAAUGGAUGAUGUUAAGAAUGAGAUGCUAACAGGGAAAAUUGAGAAGGAAUGGCCCGUGAAAUAGGAGGAAACUCAGAAGGGCAUGUUGUCCUGCCCACCAUAAUGUUUCAAAGAGGAACAAGUGUCAAAUCCUGCUGGGAAUAAACUGAGGACAGAUAAUUGAAUACUAGAUUCUACAUCAUGACCCUAACAUGAGCAGCUGCAGUUGAACAGUGGGGAUGAAAUUCUGAAUGAAAUGAAUUAAAAAAGUAAAGAAGUGGAGACAGCAAGUAGCAAUAGUUCUUUCAAGUUUUGCUGAGAAGGGGAGAAAAAAUGGGGAUGUAGGGUCAAGGGUGGAUUUUUCAAAUAGG
rnacentral:lncRNA from 1 species